rnacentral:lncRNA from 1 species
GAUAUUCAGGGUGUGGGGGAAGGAGUGGUGAGUGGGGAGAGCUGGAGGGGGAGAGGAACCAGGACUGGGGGUGUAGACUUCAUGGAUUUAGGGACAUUAUGAAAAAACAUGUUCAUUGCAGACAUAUGAGCUGGAAGGUAACAUACAGACAAAAGGAAGCUAUGGGUGGCGGUCAAACUUAAGAGGGGUCCCCCCAUCCCUGCUCCCCAAGCAGGUGCUGAGGAGAGGGAUGGUGGUGACGAUGAAGGACCCAAAUGUCAGCAAGUGCACUGCCUCUGUGCCUCCCACCAUGCCUUAGAGGCAGCCACCCAGGCAGGCAAGGGGCUCAUGAUUGCAUGCGAAAGAUAAUGAUGCAUCCAUUAGCACGCAAAGGAGUCAAAAACACCUCUCCCUGAUAAAUGCAGAGAGCCGUCAGGAUUGGGGAGAUCAGGCAAGGAGGGCCAUUCUGGGGACCUCCAGGUCCGAUGGUGGCCUGAGGCCCCUGCCCCCACCUGCAGAGGGCUCUGCUAUUUACAAAGCCGCUUCACAGCAUUGUAGCCUGUGUGACUCUCGUAAGGAAGACCGUGGAAGGAAGCGAAGCAGGUGAGAAGGUGAAGCUCAGAGAGGGUGAGCGACUUACCUGGGAUCAGCAGGCCCAUAAUUACGGGAUAAUUAGCGUGAGCUCAUUCCUGUGACACUAGGUUUGUGCCGCCCUGACCCACACUGGCCGCCCUCAGCCCUCUGCGGUGCCUCCACCCCCUGCCUGGACCCUGGGUCCUCAGGGAAGGCUUCAGACGGUCAGGCCAGAGAUUAUGGGUGGCAUCUGUGGUUUUCUGUUUCUAAUCGACUCCUUCCUCUGGGCACUCCAGUUCACCGUGAGCACUGAUGAGGGUUUGGACAAGCGAACCGUGGAGAGAAGGAAUGCCAGCCUGAGGAGGUCCUGGGAGUUCUGCCACAUUUUCUCAAAGUUCUGGAUCCACUCUCUCUUCACAAAGUACAUCCACCACGGGCCUGGGAGUCCUACCACCACUCCGGAAUGGUCUGGAUCCACUGUCUCUUCAGAUAGUACCUCCACCCCAGGCCCUGGGAGUCCUACCACCACUCCUGACUCGUCUGGAUCCACUGUCUCUUCAGAAAGUACCUCCACCCCAGGCCCUGGGAGUCCUACACCACUCCUGACUCGUCUGGACCCACUGUCUCUUCAGAAAGUACCUCCGCCCCAGGCCCUGGGAGUCCUACCACCACUCCUGACUCGUCUGGAUCCACUGUCUCUACAGAAAGUACCUCCACCCCAGGCCCUGGGAGUCCUACCACCACUCCUGACUCGUCUGGACCACUGUCUCUUCAGAAAGUACUCCACCCAGGCCCUGGAGUCCUACCACCACUCCUGACUCGUCUGGACCACUGUCUCUUCAGAAAGUACUCCACCCCAGGCCCUGGGAGUCCUACCACCACUCCUGACUCGUCUGGACCCACUGUCUCUUCAGAAAGUACCUCCACCCCAGGCCCUGGGAGUCCUACCACCACUCCUGACUCGUCUGGAUCCACUGUCUCUUCAGAAAGUACCUCCACCCCAGGCCCUGGGAGUCCUACCACCACUCCUGACUCGUCUGGACCCACUGUCUCUUCAGAAAGUACCUCCACCCAGGCCCUGGGAGUCCUACCACCACUCCUGACUCGUCUGGACCCACUGUCUCUUCAGAAAGUACCUCCACCCAGGCCUGGGAGUCCUACCACCACUCCUGACUCGUCUGGACCACUGUCUCUUCAGAAAGUACCUCCACCCCAGGCCCUGGGAGUCCUACCACCACUCCUGACUCGUCUGGACCCACUGUCUCUUCAGAAAGUACCUCCACCCCAGGC